CAGCAGAAAAUUCACACCACUCUCUGAGCAAGGAGGCUCACACAGGACCAGCCAGCUACCUUUAGGGGCAAAGUCAGAGCCAAAAACCUCUGUCCACUUUGACUCCUUGACUCCUGUCAGAGAGCGGAUGUUCUGUACCUUCACACACUGAGGUACAGCUGGUUCCCUCCACAGGAGCUGAAUGAUCCCAGUGCAAGAGUCUUCAGAGAUAAGAGAUGGCCACUCUCCUCUCUCCUCUCCCCCGCAGCAGGACUCACUCAGGGAAGGGAAGACAUAAUCAUAUCCCUCACUGCACUGGCCAGCCAGACCUCUGCUCAGAGUACUGCAGCUUCCACUGCACAGCACUGGUUUGGUGAUUAAGCCCUGUCACAGUCCUGUCAGCCAUCCCUACAACCCUCACUCCAACUCUGCCCUCAUCUCUCUCAUCUGUCACCCCUCAUGACUUAAGUGUCUGGAUCAGGAAAAAGGCUCAGCUUUUCCUCCAACAAAUCUGAAGUGACACCAGUAAAUUGUGUGGUGCAAAUUGGGCCGUAUGGGGCCCUGCUUAGUAUGCAGACGGAUGCAGUUUUUGGCCUUACAAAGAAGAGGAGAAGAGAGGAGUACUUUCCGAAAACCCUUCUAUACUGUAAUAUCAAAUGAAGGGUUUGAAACCUUCAUACUGCAUGGAGAACAUAGUGCUUUUCAUACUCUUUAGCUCUAUUCAUUCACUUUUUCAUUGAGAAAUUAUGCUUUAAAAUGCAAUUAUACUAUUUCACACUCUAUGUAUACUUGAAUCUUAUCUUCAGGAACUCAUUCUCUUCAUGUUGCAGUGAACUUACAGGAUGACAGGUCAAAAAUCAGACAAAUGCAUGUUGGCUGCAGAGAGAUAGACAAAGAGUGAGGUGUGUCAAGUGUUAUUAUUAUUUGAUGUUCUAAUGCGAUUCAGAACUCUAAUAAAGGAUUUUAGAUGAA